rnacentral:rRNA from 1 species
ACGCGUGGAACCUUACCAGGUCUUGACAUCCCAUUGACCGCUAUGGAGACAUAGCUUUCCCUUCGGGGACAGUGGUGACAGGUGGUGCAUGGUUGUCGUCAGCUCGUGUCGUGAGAUGUUGGGUUAAGUCCCGCAACGAGCGCAACCCUUGAUCUUAGUUGCCAGCAUUUAGUUGGGCACUCUAAGGAGACUGCCGGUGACAAACCGGAGGAAGGUGGGGAUGACGUCAAAUCAUCAUGCCCCUUAUGACCUGGGCUACACACGUGCUACAAUGGACGGUACAAACGGUUGCCAACCCGCGAGGGGGAGCUAAUCCGAUAAAACCGUUCUCAGUUCGGAUUGUAGGCUGCAACUCGCCUACAUGAAGCCGGAAUCGCUAGUAAUCGCGGAUCAGCAUGCCGCGGUGAAUACGUUCCCGGGCCUUGUACACACCGCCCGU